UUGACGGGGCCCGCACAAGCGGUGGAGCAUGUGGUUUAAUUCGAUGCAACGCGAAGAACCUUACCUGGGCUUGACAUCCCGGGAAUCCUCUGGAAACAGGGGAGUGCCUCUCUGAGGAGCCCGGAGACAGGUGCUGCAUGGCUGUCGUCAGCUCGUGUCGUGAGAUGUUGGGUUAAGUCCCGCAACGAGCGCAACCCUUGUCUUUAAUUACCAUCAUUCAGUUGGGUACUUUAAAGAGACUGCCUGUGUUAAGCCGGAGGAAGGUGGGGAUGACGUCAAGUCCUCAUGGCCUUUAUGUCCAGGGCUACACACGUGCUACAAUGGCUGGUACAAAGGGUUGCCAACCCGCGAGGGGGAGCCAAUCCCAUAAAGCCAGUCGUAGUCCGGAUCGUAGUCUGCAACUCGACUACGUGAAGUCGGAAUCGCUAGUAAUCGUGGAUCAGAAUGUCACGGUGAAUACGUUCCCGGGUCUU
rnacentral:rRNA from 1 species